rnacentral:lncRNA from 1 species
GAGCCUGGUGAAAAAAUAUCUGCCCAAGAGACCUGCCAAGGAUGAUCCUGAGUCCAAAUUCAGCCAGCAACAGUCCUUCGUACAGAUUCUCCAGGAGGUGAAUGACUUUGCAGGCCAGCGGGAGCUGGUGGCUGAGAACCUCAGUGUCCGUGUAUGUCUUGAGCUGACCAAGUACUCACAAGAGAUGAAACAGGAGAGGAAGAUGCACUUCCAAGAAGGGCGGCGGGCCCAGCAGCAGCUGGAAAAUGGCUUUAAACAGCUGGAGAAUGCUUCCAGUACUCCCUUGACCCCUACUUACUGGAUGACAUCCC